CAGCAGCCGCGGUAAUACGAAGGGUGCAAGCGUUAAUCGGAAUUACUGGGCGUAAAGCGUGCGUAGGCGGUGAGUUAAGUCUGCUGUGAAAUCCCCGGGCUCAACCUGGGAAUGGCAGUGGAUACUGGCUCGCUAGAGUGUGUCAGAGGAUGGUGGAAUUCCCGGUGUAGCGGUGAAAUGCGUAGAGAUCGGGAGGAACAUCAGUGGCGAAGGCGGCCAUCUGGGACAACACUGACGCUGAGGCACGAAAGCGUGGGGAGCAAACAGGAUUAGAUACCCGCGUAGUCCCUGUCUCUUUACA
rnacentral:rRNA from 1 species